UACGUAGGGGGCUAGCGUUGUCCGGAUUUAUUGGGCGUAAAGAGCGUGUAGGCGGCCAGGUAGGUCUGCUGUGAAACUCGAGGCUCAACCUCGAGACGCCGAUGGAAACCGUCUGGCUAGAGUCCGGAAGAGGAGAGUGGAAUUCCUGGUGUAGCGGUGAAAUGCGCAGAUAUCAGGAGGAACACCGGUGGCGAAGGCGGUCUCUGGCCGAUACUGACGCUGGAGGAGCGAAAGCGUGGGAGCGAACAGG
rnacentral:rRNA from 1 species